rnacentral:rRNA from 1 species
GUGGGGAAUAUUGGACAAUGGGCGAAAGCCUGAUCCAGCCAUGCCGCGUGUGUGAAGAAGGUCUUCGGAUUGUAAAGCACUUUAAGUUGGGAGGAAGGGCAGUAAGUUAAUACCUUGCUGUUUUGACGUUACCAACAGAAUAAGCACCGGCUAACUUCGUGCCAGCAGCCGCGGUAAUACGAAGGGUGCAAGCGUUAAUCGGAAUUACUGGGCGUAAAGCGCGCGUAGGUGGUUUGGUAAGAUGGAUGUGAAAUCCCCGGGCUCAACCUGGGAACUGCAUCCAUAACUGCCUGACUAGAGUACGGUAGAGGGUGGUGGAAUUUCCUGUGUAGCGGUGAAAUGCGUAGAUAUAGGAAGGAACACCAGUGGCGAAGGCGACCACCUGGACUGAUACUGACACUGAGGUGCGAAAGCGUGGGGAGCAAACAGGAUUAGAAACCCCGGUAGUCC